ACAUCAUAUUCGAUGGAUCGAUUGGUUUUGGUGACGAUGAAGAACGUUGCUGAAUACGAAAGCGGGAAAAAAUAGCAAUAUUUAUCCUGUGUUCGAAUUAUAGGUAAUUAUCUAUGAUAACCCUCUGAACUUAAGCAUAUCAUUAAGGGGAGGAAAAUAAAAUAACUAUGAUUUCAAUAGUAGCGGCGAAUGAAUUUGAAACAGCCCCAAUGGUAAAGAAUGUAUUUAUAUGUUCUGUUGUAAAGGGUAGCAAUAAAGAUGUUGAAAGGCAUUUUCAUAGAAGGUGAUAAACCUGUAUUGCGGUCUAAAUUUUAGGAGUAGUACUUUUGGUAGUGCAGUAUGAAUAUAGGUGGUUGUGAGCAUCUAAGGCUAAAUACAACCAAAAACCGAUAGCGGAUAAGUACUGUCAAGGAAAUGACCUGCUGUGAUGGUAGGGGAGUGAAAUUGAAUAUGAGGAAGGCGACAAGUCGCA
rnacentral:rRNA from 1 species